CCCAAUGAUGGGCUGUAUGGGAGAUCGAAAGAUCGCCGUUAUCCAGUACAACGGUACGCCAAUCUCGUACAGUUCAUCACCAGU
rnacentral:antisense_RNA from 1 species